UGCGUAGGCGGGGCAAUUAGUCAGUGGUGAAAUCCUGCGGCUUAACCGUAGAACUGCCAUUGAUACUGUUGCCCUUGAGUAUAGUUGAGGUGGGCGGAAUGUGUAAUGUAGCGGUGAAAUGCAUAGAGAUUACACAGAACACCAAUUGCGAAGGCAGCUCACUAAGCUAUAACUGACGCUGAGGCGCGAAAGCGUGGGGAGCGAACAGGAUUAGAUACCCUGGUAGUCC
rnacentral:rRNA from 1 species